rnacentral:rRNA from 1 species
GGACCCGCACAAGUAGUGGAGCAUGUGGUUUAAUUCGAAGAUACGCGCAGAACCUUACCAACACUUGACAUGUUCGUCGCGACUCUAAGAGAUUAGAGUUUUCGGUUCGGCCGGACGAAACACAGGUGCUGCAUGGCUGUCGUCAGCUCGUGUCGUGAGAUGUUGGGUUAAGUCCCGCAACGAGCGCAACCCUCACUUUUAGUUGCCAUCAUUAAGUUGGGCACUCUGAAAGAACUGCCAGUGAUAAGCUGGAGGAAGGUGGGGAUGACGUCAAGUCCUCAUGGCCCUUACGUGUUGGGCUACACACGUGCUACAAUGAUAUCUACAACAGGAAGCAAAACGGCGACGUUAAGCAAAUCCUUAAAAGAUAUCUCAGUUCGGAUUGCACUCUGCAACUCGAGUGCAUGAAGCUGGAAUUACUAG